rnacentral:rRNA from 1 species
AUUGAACGCUGGCGGCAGGCCUAACACAUGCAAGUCGAGCGGAUGAAGGGAGCUUGCUCCUGGAUUCAGCGGCGGACGGGUGAGUAAUGCCUAGGAAUCUGCCUGGUAGUGGGGGAUAACGUCCGGAAACGGGCGCUAAUACCGCAUACGUCCUGAGGGAGAAAGUGGGGGAUCUUCGGACCUCACGCUAUCAGAUGAGCCUAGGUCGGAUCAGCUAGUUGGUGGGGUAAAGGCCUACCAAGGCGACGAUCCGUAACUGGUCUGAGAGGAUGAUCAGUCACACUGGAACUGAGACACGGUCCAGACUCCUACGGGAGGCAGCAGUGGGGAAUAUUGGACAAUGGGCGAAAGCCUGAUCCAGCCAUGCCGCGUGUGUGAAGAAGGUCUUCGGAUUGUAAAGCACUUUAAGUUGGGAGGAAGGGCAGUAAGUUAAUACCUUGCUGUUUUGACGUUACCAACGGAAUAAGCACCGGCUAACUUCGUG